GCCAUUUGCUCUCCUCCCUCAUCCCUUCACCUGUAGCAGCAGCACCUUCCAUUGCUCCUCUCUCACACGAACAUACAUACACGCAAACAUGCAUACAUACACACGGGCAUACACACAGAGCACAACACCAGCCUUUGUUGCUCCUUCGCGCAGCUGCCGAAGCCGCUCAAUCGCUCGCCACUCCGUGUCGCCGUCCGCCUGCCCACUCCGACCCCGCCGUGCGUGCUGUCACUACCCGUGCCACCGAUGAAGGAACUGGUGCCGAUUUCGCCAGAGAUAAGGGUGGUGAUGAAGAGUAGAGUUAGAAGUCACGUUCGCACUCACGCUGCUUGUGGCUUGGGCGUUUGCUUUCCAUUGUGUUUUGUUGGUCGUUAGGCUAGGCUUGUAAUAUACAAUAUGGUUUGUAACCUUCUGUACUCUGAACCUUAAUACUUUUGUACGAAGUUUGACUGUGAUACUACAAUUGUUAUACUGUGCGUAUCAAUUACUUAAUCUAGGGACUGAUAUAGGAGGCACACGAGAUUUCUGUAUCAACUGUUUGCUUGUGUUAAGGGGAACUAAAGAGGCACACAAAUGAUAUAAAGUUUUUUUUUACCGAAGAAAACAAAAAGGCUCAUCUUCGCUUUUGACUCUCCAUGCUCAAAAAUGACAGCAUACCUCAUGAUCCAGUAUUUAAAGGGAUGUACAACAUCGUCUACAACUUCUAUUUGACGCCAGAUGAAGAUAGGCCACUGCGAUUAGUCAAGAAUAAGAGUUUUAUUGAUAAGGUGAUGUUUCUUGGCUGCCAAGCUAGGCCAAGGUAUGAUGACCAAGACCUGCAGGUACAAUGAUCACCAAACCAGUGACGUCAGUCAACAAGCAAACUAUCAGGUCAUUUCUCAUUGACAAAGUCUUGCCUACCAUCAAACAAAAAUGGCCAAGUGAAGAUUCUAGGUGCACUACUUUUAUUCAGCAAGAUAAUGCAAGAACUCACAUCGAUCCCAAUAAUGAAGAAUUCUAUCGUGCAGCUAGUCAAGAUGGAUUUAACAUUCGGUUGACUUGCCAGCCUCCAAACUCUGCUGAUCUGAAUGUCUUAGACCUUGGUUUUUUUGGCUGCUAUUCAGUCCAUUCAACUGAAGAUCCCAUGCAAGACAGUAUUAGAACUUGUCGGCGUAGUGGAGAUAGCAUAUGGACAGUUUUCUACAAGCAGUUCCAACCAUGUGUUUCUAUCACAACAAGCUUGCAUGAGAGAUUAUAAAGGCAAAAGGAAGCCAGAAUUAGGUUCCAUAUAUGGGCAAGGCUUCA